rnacentral:rRNA from 1 species
ACUCAAUAGAUACCCGGGUAGUCCACGCCGUAAACGAUGGAUGCUAGCUGUUAUAGGUAUCGACCCCUGUAGUAGCGAAAGCUAACGCGUUAAGCAUCCCGCCUGUGGAGUACGGUCGCAAGACUAAAACAAUAAAGGAAUUGACGGGGACCCGGCACAAGCGGUGGAGCGUGUUGUUUAAUUCGAUGGUAAACGAAGAACCUUACCCAGGUUUGACAUCCUUGGAAUUUCUCCGAAAGGAGAGAGUGCUUUAUCGAGCCAAGUGACAGGUGAUGCAUGGCCGUCGUCAGCUCGUGUCGUGAGAUGUUUGGUUAAGUCCAUCAACGAGCGCAACCCUUGUGAUUAGUUGAAUUUUUCUAAUCAGACUGCCCUGGUAACAGGGAGGAAGGAGGGGAUGAUGUCAGGUCAGUAUUUCCCUUACAUCUGGGGCUACAAACACGCUACAAUGGCCGGUACAAAGGGCAGCCAAGUCGCGAGACGGAGCAAAUCCCAUCAAAGCCGGUCUCAGUUCGGAUUGCAGGCUGAAACUCGCCUGCAU